UGCUCGUCAGACAACAUUGAAAUAGCAUAAAGCCGUUUUGAAACAAGUAGAAAUAAUUAUUUCAUGAAUUAAGGAGUAAUAUGUCUGUCUAGUAAAUGAUACUGGUCCGCUGAAAGAAUAAGAUGUUUUCAGUAUCUGUUAAUUAUCAUUAAUUUAAUAUAUGUUCGACUUAUUAUUUAUUACAGCACAGAGGAACGCAACCAAUUAACUGACGAAUAAUAUUGUUCGAUUAGCAUUUGUGACAUAAGCAUGCGUCCAAGUUAAACAUAUACUGUUCAAUACACCAAGCGGAUUAACUAAUUCUGUUAACUACAACAGAGGCAACCUUAUUGAUGGAUCGAGGUUUGGUUUAGUGAAAUUGUUUUGUGGUAAUUAAGAAAAGAUAAAUAUCACACAUGGAAAAAAAGAAACUAAUGAUUUUUUAUGGACUUAUGUCUGUGUUUGGAUCGCUUAAAGAUGCCGUUUUAAUACAGAUCAUUUUAUUUUCAUGCUGGCAUGUGGUAUCCAUGACAACAUACAACCCAGUUUUUAACCAUACACCAGUAAACUUAACAUAUUACACAGGAGAAACUGCAACGUUAAGAUGUUCAGUCAGUCACUUAGGACCUAGCAAGGUGAUUUGGAAGCGAGAGGAUCAGCCUCAUCCAUUGACGGUUGGUAAAUUUGUAUAUGUUAGUAACCCUGAAUAUGGAAUAAAGCACAUUCCAUACAAAGACGAAUGGAAUCUGAUUAUUGAAAACGUUCAGCCGAGCCAUGCUGGGUUUUAUGAAUGUCAGAUUAGUACCAAGGACGACAUAAAGAGAUAUGUUCAACUGCACAUUAUUGAUGAGCCUGGUCAUGACAGAAGAUAUAUCAACAUCACAGGUCCGACACGUGCUACGAAAGGACAAUCUGUAAAAUUAACAUGUAAUGUAUCAGGAUUCAGAAGAACACCGAAACAUAUCAGAUGGUUUUUGAACGGUACCCACAUCGUAAGCGGACAGGACCACAAUAUUCGGAUUGUAACAUACCAGAGAUCAGAUGUAUUUUCAUUGUUUAGUGAAUUAGACAUUGGAAAAACUAACUUAAACUAUGCUGGGAAUUAUUUAUGUCAAGCACAUUUUGCAAAUGGAUUAAAAGUAUCAAAACAUAUACUUUUAGUAGAUACUAUUAAUGCAGACAGUAAACCGAGUAAACGAGGAACAGUAGCUGAUGGAACAGAACGUCCAGUUCUACAUAGGAACAAACAACAAACACCAAACACAGCAUUCCCAUGUAGUGGGACAUUAUGGUGUCUGACAGUGUGUUCAUUGGUAUCAUUAUUAUGUUGGUUUUAGGCGAUUAAAAGGUAUACAGUAUAUCGCUGGGACCAAAUUUACUUUUCUGACAUGACAGACAUCGUUGUUAAGUUGUGCAUUCCAAGUCUUCCAUUAAAGCUACUACCAAUUUAUCCCAUUUGUAUGAGAUCAUCAUUAUUCAGAUAGUUAACCAGUUUUAAGUUUAUGGAUGUCUUAUUGCAGCAUUUCCGGGCCUUUUUACAUCGAAAUAUCAUUCAUUAUUAUAAAGUAUUCAAAUAAAUAUAAAAGAUAUAAAACAUUUUAUCAUUUUGUCUUCUGUUCAACAAAACUAUGUGCAAAACAGCCAUUUUAGUUCAAAUAUGUCAAUUUAAUCAUUUUAUUGACGUCACAGUGCCAUCAAAGCUGAUAUUUUAUGUACUAAAGUGUAAAGAUUACAUCAGCCUAUCAAUUCAUUAAUAAA